rnacentral:snRNA from 1 species
GUGUUCGUUUUGGCAGCACAUAUACUAAAAUUGGAACUAUACAGAAAAAAAUUAGCAUGGCCCCUGUGCAAGGUCGACAUGCAAAUUUAUGAAGCAUGAAGCAUUCCA